GCGCCUGUAGCUCAGUUGGAUAGAGUACUGCCCUCCGAAGGCAGGGGUCGGACGUUCGAAUCGUCUCAGGCGCGCCA
rnacentral:tRNA from 3 species